UUGAUCUAUAAAAAGCAGAGACCAAAAGCAGAAGAAUACCUUGAGGUUCAAUCAUUAUGAGCUUGACAACCGUUUUUAAUAUUUGUGCGAUCGCUUUAAUUGCGCUAGGUGGACAACCACAAUGCCCCAUGUGCAAAGUGACUAUUUCUAGUACAUAGAGGAGGGCUUAACUAUAUUGGAAUACUUUUUAGGCUCCAUUUCAAAAUAGCUUAUCUGUUCCCGAGCAUAACUUAGGUUUAAAUUGAUCAACAUGUCAUAUAAGACCUUUUAAACAAUAUAAAACAUAAAGUAUUCCAA